UGGGGAAUAUUGGACAAUGGGCGAAAGCCUGAUCCAGCCAUGCCGCGUGUGUGAAGAAGGUCUUCGGAUUGUAAAGCACUUUAAGUUGGGAGGAAGGGCAGUAAGCGAAUACCUUGCUGUUUUGACGUUACCGACAGAAUAAGCACCGGCUACCUCUGUGCCAGCAGCCGCGGUAAUACAGAGGGUGCAAGCGUUAAUCGGAAUUACUGGGCGUAAAGCGCGCGUAGGUGGUUCGUUAAGUUGAAUGUGAAAGCCCCGGGCUCAACCUGGGAACUGCAUCCAAAACUGGCGAGCUAGAGUAGGGCAGAGGGUGGUGGAAUUUCCUGUGUAGCGGUGAAAUGCGUAGAUAUAGGAAGGAACACCAGUGGCGAAGGCGACCACCUGGGCUCAUACUGACACUGAGGUGCGAAAGAGUGGGGAGCAAACAGG
rnacentral:rRNA from 1 species